UACGGAGGGGGCUAGCGUUGUUCGGAAUUACUGGGCGUAAAGGGCGCGUAGGCGGCGCUCCAAGUUAGGCGUGAAAGUCCUGGGCUCAACCUGGGAACUGCGCUUAAGACUGGAGUGCUUGAGGAUGGAAGAGGGUCGUGGAAUUCCCAGUGUAGAGGUGAAAUUCGUAGAUAUUGGGAAGAACACCGGUGGCGAAGGCGGCGACCUGGUCCAUUACUGACGCUGAGGCGCGACAGCGUGGGGGAGCAAACAGG
rnacentral:rRNA from 1 species